GCUGGAAUCGCUAGUAAUCGCGAAUCAGAAUGUCGCGGUGAAUACGUUCCCGGGUCUUGUACACACCGCCCGUCACACCAUGGGAGUCGGGAAUGCCCGAAGUCAGUGACCCAACCUUUGGAGGGAGCUGCCGAAGGCAGGUCUGAUAACUGGGGUGAAGUCGUAACAAGGUAUC
rnacentral:rRNA from 1 species